rnacentral:rRNA from 1 species
CUUGCAUAAACAUAAGAGGUCCAGCCUGCCCAGUGACCAUGUUCAACGGCCGCGGUAUCCUAACCGUGCGAAGGUAGCGUAAUCACUUGUUCUUUAAAUAAGGACUAGUAUGAACGGCAUCACGAAGGUUAUACUGUCUCCUCUUUCUAAUCAGUGAAACUAAUCUCCCCGUGAAGAAGCGGGGAUAAACAUAUAAGACGAGAAGACCCUAUGGAGCUUUAAACUAAAAGGCACUUACCCCAGUAUUCACUAAAUUUCAGAAAACCUACACCACCCAGGCAAGAUGGCCCCCAGUUUUAGGUUGGGGUGACCGCGGAGCAAAAAACAACCUCCGCAUUGAAAGGAACCCACUCCUUAGCCAAGAGCUACACCUCCAAGCACCAACAUAAAGACAUUAAUUGACCCAAUAUUUUGAUCAACGAAC